UGGUGGAGUGAUUUGUCUGGUUAAUUCCGUUAACGAACGAGACCUCGACCUGCUAAAUAGUUCGGCGAAGGAUUCGUCCUUCGUUCGCGACUUCUUAGAGGGACUAUCGGUGUGUAGCCGAUGGAAGUUCGAGGCAAUAACA
rnacentral:rRNA from 1 species